rnacentral:RNase_P_RNA from 1 species
GUGCUUGGGUAAUCGCUGUAAUGGUUACAUUGCAGAGGAAAGUCCAUGCUCGCACGAACUGAGAUGUUCGUAGUGUUCGUGCCUAGCGAAGACAUAAGCUAGGGCAAUCAGUAAUGAUUGACGGCAGGAAGAACACCUAAGUCUUCGGAUAUGGUGAACUACCUUGAAAGUGCCACAGUGACGUAGCUUUACUGGAAACAGUAGAGGUGGAACGCGGUAAACCCCUCGAGCGAGCAACCCAAAUUUGGUAGGGGCAUUUUCUCCUAAGGAAAUGAACGAAGGAGAAGAAUGAGUUUAUAACUCUUAGAUAGAUGAUUACCACCGGUUCGUACGAGAUUUCCCAAUCGUUUGAGUACACCGGUACAGAACAUGGCUUACAGAG